rnacentral:lncRNA from 1 species
GGUGACGAAUUUUUGUAGAAAAAAGGGACCAUAACCUGAAUUUUGUGUGUGCUUGAGGGGUGGGGGUGUUUGGGAAAAGGGAAGGGGUGGGGGAUAUCUAAUUGAUCAACUCUCUAAGAAGACUCUGAAGUGGGUGAACACUUGACCCAGCGGGCAAACAUGCCGGCUCCGGCUCCGCGCACCUGCUGACACCUUUCGAAGCACUUUCACGUGUGAACCUGUUAUGGACACCUUCUUUGGUGCCAAGUUCCAGCACCAAAAGAAGAAACCGGCGUUAGGUUAGUUGGUUGGUUGGUUGAGAUAAAGAUAAGAUAGCUUUGGUUUAGAUUAGAAGUUUGUUAGCUGGCCGACUGUUAUAUAAAGCACGGCAGAGUCUUUGUAAUCCCCAAGUAGAAAGUAGUUGGAAUUCUUAGAGCCUCCAGAGGGAGGGCGAGAUCCCUUCUACCUUGUACUCUCCAUUUCCGGCAAUAUAGCCAUAACAAAACCGAAGUCGUCUCGCCGAACUCCUUCCUUUCUCAUUUCAGUCCUCGCCUUUUUCAUCUUCCGUAGGGCUCAUUCUCCAUGUUUAAUUGAAGCUACAAACAGUAGGCAAGGAGUUCGUGAAUAAUCAUUAUAUGAUCAAUCUAAUAGUAAC